rnacentral:lncRNA from 1 species
UAAAUUAAAAUUCCCACAACAACCCCGUACGUAUGAUUAUUAACUAAUUCCUCAUCUACUUACAACACGACCAAAUUGUCCUUACACUAAUGGUAUCUACUCAACGAACCCAUGUCUGGUUGGUGAUUCUAGGUUAAGCAUACAUCCAGCAACUCAAAAUCAAGUUCGAACAAACAUUUGCAGGGGAUCAUCUUCCUGCCUUUCCCAAAUUACAAAAUUUCUUUCUACAAAACAAAGUAUCAAAUAUUGCAAAACAUUCGCAAGAUAUAUGAUCAAAUUUGCAUCAUAAAAUAUAUUAAUUUAGGAGAAUUUUUAGAUUCGAUAUAAACUAUUUUGAUCAUUAUAAAUAAAAUUGGAUAGAAACCGAUAGCAAGGUUCAGAUUGUACAUUAGACUUUACAAUUUUACUAUCUUUAGCAUCUGCCGUGCCCAUGGUAGAAUCAUGAACAGCAGAGGAAUCACACGUUACGAAGUUGGUAGAUCGGGGUUAAUUUAGUCAACCACUAAACUAAUCUUUCUCAAAUCACCCUCGAGUUCUCGAUAUUUCUAUAAUAUCUUAAAAAACAAAGUUAUUUUCAGGUGUCGGGUGUCCUGAGUCCAAAUAAUCUCCCCGCCCUAAAAG